UACGUAGGGGGCGAGCGUUGUCCGGAUUUACUGGGCGUAAAGCGCGUGUAGGCGGCCAGACAGGUCCGUUGUGAAAACUCGAGGCUCAACCUCGAGACGUCGAUGGAAACCGUCUGGCUAGAGUCCGGAAGAGGAGAGUGGAAUUCCUGGUGUAGCGGUGAAAUGCGUAGAUAUCUGGAGGAACACCGGUGGCGAAGGCGGCGAUCUGGCCCAACACUGACACUCAGACCCGAAAGUGCGGGGAUCAAACAGG
rnacentral:rRNA from 1 species